CUAGAGGGAUAAGGAUGAUUUCACAGAAUCAUCUGAUCUGGCUCCUGGUGCUCUGGAUUCAAGAUGCCAAGGGGCAGAUUGUGCUGACUCAGACUCCAGAAUCCCUGGCAGUGUCUCCAGGAGACAGCGUCACCAUCAACUGCAAAGCCAGUUCCAGUGUUAGCAGCAGCUACAUGUCCUGGUACCAACAGAAUUCAGGACAAGCUCCUAAACUCCUUAACUCCAGAGCUUCCACCCGUCCCUCUGGGGUCCCAGACCUGUUCAGUGGCAGUGGGUCUGGCACUAACUUCACUUUUACAAUCAGCCAGGUAGAAGCUGAUGAUGCUGGAGAUUAUUACUGUCAACAAGAUCAAAGAAAGCCACAUGAAGAGAGAUGCAUUCACGGUAUUGGCUUUGCCAUCAAACAUAGGAUCGCCAGUCAGCUUUUGGAGCUUCACAUGGGGAUCAACGAGCGUCUCAUGGCUCUUCGGCUCAAGCUUAGCAACAACCAAUAUGCCACAGUCAUCCAUGGAUAUGUUCCAACACUCGAUGAUGAGGAAGACAAUAAGGAGCAGUUUUAUAGCCCUUUUGAUGCAGUCCUCACAGCCACACCUAAGACAAACUCAUCCUCCUGGGAGAUUUCAGUGUCAGAGUCGGAUGGGAUUCCCAACUCUGGAGCAGCACAAUAG